UAUACUUAUAAAAUAAAGUUAUAUUAUAAGACGUUUGUAACAGUUUGUUAAAUAGAUAAAGAUGUUUAAAACUAAUUUUAUUUGGUGAAAUAAAUAAAUUUAUUUGGUUUUGUUUGACAUUUAUAUAUAUUAAAGUUAAUUAAAAUUUAUAAGAGACUGGGAUUAGAUACCCCAUUAUUUUUAGUUUAAUGUCUGAAUAGUACGGAUAGAAUCUGAUAAGAGAUCCUUAUUUAAAAUUUAAAUGAUUUGGUGGUAUUUUAAACUUCUUAGGGGAACUUGUUUAUUAAACGAUAAUCCGCGUUGUACCUUUCCUUGUUUUGAAAUUAGCUUAUAUAUCGUUGUGAAAUAGUUUACUUUGAAGAAUUUAGUAGUAAGCAGAUAAUAAAGUUUAUUGUAUAUCAGAUCUAGAUGUAGUUGAUAACAAGGUUUAAAUGAGUUACAAUCAUUUUAUAGUAUGUAAAUUUAAAUUAAUGAAAUGUAAAUGACAAAUUAGGACUUAAAAGUAAAAUAUUUUGAUUUAAGUAUUUUGAAAUUAGCUCUAAAAUGUGC
rnacentral:rRNA from 1 species